rnacentral:rRNA from 1 species
CACGUAGGGUGCGAGCGUUGUCCGGAAUUAUUGGGCGUAAAGAGCUCGUAGGCGGUGUGUCGCGUCGGCCGUGAAAACCUGCAGCUUAACUGUGGGCUUGCGGUCGAUACGGGCAUCACUGGAGUUCGGCAGGGGAGACUGGAAUUCCUGGUGUAGCGGUGAAAUGCGCAGAUAUCAGGAGGAACACCGGUGGCGAAGGCGGGUCUCUGGGCCGAUACUGACGCUGAGGAGCGAAAGCAUGGGUAGCAAACAGG